CCAUUUGCGGUGGAUUUUUCGGCUCUUGUGGAAUGGCGGGGCAAACUUGUGAUAUGUUG
rnacentral:rRNA from 9 species